CCCAGGUCAACCUACCAGCCUCCCAGUCUGCUCCAGCCCAGGUCAAUCUACCUGUCUCACAGUCUGCUCCAGCCCAGGUCAGAAUACCAGCUUCCCAGUCUGCUCCAGCCCAGGUCAAUCUACCAGUCUCCCAGUCUGCUCCAGCCCAGGUCAGAAUACCAGCCUCCCAGUCUGCUCCAGCCCAGAUCAGAUCAGGAUACCAGCCUCCCAGUCUGCUCCAGCCCAGGUCAAUCUACCAGUCUCCCAGUCUGCUCCAGCCCAGGUCAGAAUACCAGCCUCCCAGUCUGCUCCAGUCCAGGUCAGAAUACCAGCUUCCCAGUCUGCUCCAGCCCAUGUCAAUCUACCAGUCUCCCAGUCUGCUCCAGCCCAGGUCAGAAUACCAGCCUCCCAGUCUGCUCCAGCCCAGGUCAGAAUACCAGCCUCCCAGUCUACUCCACCCAGACAAUCACCCACAACUGCAAUCCUUAUUAAUUCAAAUGGG
ensembl:lncRNA